GGAGAAGUGUCCGAGUGGUCGAAGGAGCACGCCUGGAAAGUGUGUAUACUGUGUGAAAUGGUAUCGUGGGUUCGAAUCCCACUUUCUCCG
rfam:Bacteroidetes bacterium 4572_128 ex4572_128_scaffold_9860, whole genome shotgun sequence.